CCCUUAGAUGUUCUGGGCUGCACGCGCGCUACACUGACGAAGUCAGCGAGCAUGUCCUACGCCGACAGGUGCGGGGAAUCUUGUCAAACUUCGUCGUGAUGGGGAUUGAUUAUUGAAAUUCUUGAUCAUCAACGAGGAAUUCCUAGUAAGCGCAAGUCAGCAGCUUGCGUUGAUUACGUCCCUGCCCUUUGUACACACCGCCCGUCGCUACUACCGAUUGAAUGGUUUAGUGAGAUCUUCGGAUUGGCGCCACUGCGGCUCAGCAAUGGGCUCGGUGGAUGCCGAAAAGUUGAUCAAACUUGAUCAUUUAGAGGAAGUAAAAGUCGUAACA
rnacentral:rRNA from 1 species